rfam:Hassallia byssoidea VB512170 scaffold_4, whole genome shotgun sequence.
UUGAGCCGUGUGACGCGAUGAGUGUCACGCACGGUUCUUAGGGGGGAGAGGACUGGUAACAGUCCAAUCCUACCCAAC